rnacentral:antisense_RNA from 1 species
CUUAAUGGUAGCUGUGCGCAGGGCGUCUUCGGGCGCGCCGGUUUUCGGAUUGUUUUUCCGGUCUACUAACCUGCGUACAGCUGCCACCCUU